rnacentral:lncRNA from 1 species
CAUUUUAUCAAUUAACACUAUAUUAUUGGGACAAUAAACGAAUGAAGAGACAAACGUUAUUUAUCAAGCAUGUAUUGUAACAUUUCCGUGUUUUGCCAUUUCGUUUCAUUAUCAAAUAACUGACAAUUUAUCGCCCUUUGUAUCAACACGCCAUUUGUAAACAUGAAAGGUCGUGAGAAAGGAAACGUUUAAAUCGUAAUUUGACGAUUAAUUUAAAAGGAAUGAUGAAUGGUAUUGCGCGAUUUACAGAUCAACUAUGGCAUAUUGGCAUGAUGUAGCACUAUGACCUUAAACAAAAAGAAAAAGGAAUUUUCAAGACAUGUCUACAUACCACAUGUUGGAAGAGUUUGUAGAAUGGCUGAAGGAUGAAAGAAUUUCCAGAAAAAUAAAAUUCUUUAUGAUUUUGUGAAUGGAAAUGAAACCCACGGAUCUAACAUUUGCUGAGCAUCCAGUUGAAAGUAUGCCAAUGGAAAAAAGUGCAACUGUCACAGACAUGUACAAAAUAAGGCCAUGUUUUCUGCAAAAGUUCAUCAAGCUGAUUCAAAAUACAAAUGGGAGUCAAGAAAAAAAGUAAAACUAACUGAACUGUCACAAUUCAGUUGUGAGAAAUGUUUGGUGAAAGAAUGGUGUGUUGCCAGAACAGGAGUGAAGUGGUUACAAUAAAACUGUCUGAAUUGUUUAAGCAAUACAGAUUUUUUUUUUAAUUUCUCCAUGCAUAAAAUAUCUUGAGUGAUCUUUUUUAUUUAAAUAAUCAUACAGUUUUAAAAAAUGACAAUAAAUGCAAUUUUUUAUUUUUAUAAGAUAUAUGGUGCAUUGUUGCCAUUGUAUUAAACAUUAAUCUGACUACAGAAUAUUGUAAAAACAUCUUUCAUGUUUACAUGUUCUACUUGUCAAAAAAUAAUGUAAGGUCAUAUUCUUUUCUAAGUAAUAACUACAUUAACAAAACAUUAUGUUAUCAUAUGAAUCUGCCUUGAACUAGCAAGAGUUGUCACUGUGUUGUGUGUAUCAGAAAUUAUGUAUAUCCAAAACAAUAUCACAUCAGUUUACAUGAAAUGAGGUUUUCUUACUUUUGAAUAUGAAGUAGACAGCUUUCAAUGUAAAUAGUAUUUUGAAAAACACUUUAACAUAUUCAGUUAUUUCAAGAACUUGAUAGAAAUGGUACUUUUGGUAAGAAAAUACAUCAUUGUUGCCAUGGUAACGAGUCACUGAUUAGUAUGACAUCUGUACUACUACCUUGAGCAAAAUCAGUUGAUAAUAUUUCUAAUAAUUAUAUAUUUAUGCAUGAUUUUCUGUCUAACAGUAACAAAGAAAUAUGCCAAUGAGUUAAGUGUUCUCACAACAAAGUUAAUGUCCUAGUUUUGUCAUGCUAUCUAACUCGAUAUCUAGUAAAUAUAUUUUUCUACGAAAGAAAGCCAUUCGAUUUUUCGCAGAUAAACUGUUAUCUUUAAACACUGUACACUAGAAAAUGUUAACGGUAUAUUAACUACACUUUCUAGAUGUUAAUUUUGGCUGGAUUUAUCAAGGAACGAUUAAAAUUGGAUUUAAAAACUGUGUUGCUAUGGAAACGAUUUUAGGGGAAAAUAAUUUGUGCUAAUAUGAAAGAAAGAAACAGAAAAAAUAAAUUUAAUAAACUGCA